rnacentral:rRNA from 1 species
GUGGGGAAUAUUGGACAAUGGGGGGAACCCUGAUCCAGCCAUGCCGCGUGAGUGAUGAAGGCCUUCGGGUUGUAAAGCUCUUUAGUCCACGAAUAUAAUGACUGUAGUGGAAGAAUAAGCCCCGGCUAACUUCGUGCCAGCAGCCGCGGUAAUACGAAGGGGGCGAGCGUUAUUCGGAAUCACUGGGCGUAAAGCGUGCGUAGGCUGUUUUGUAAGUCAGAAGUGAAAGCCCAGGGCUUAACCCUGGAAUUGCUUUUGAAACUACAAGACUCGAAUUCGGGAGAGGAUAGCGGAAUUGUCAGUGUAGCAGUGAAAUGCGUAGAUAUUGACAGGAACACCAGUGGCGCAAGCGGCUAUCUGGACCGAUAUUGACGCUGAGGCACGAAAGCGUGGGGAGCAAACAGGAUUAGAUACCCGAGUAGUCC